AAUAUAAUACAUAUAAUGGAUAUCUCUAAUAUAAAAUAGCUAUACAUAAUAUAUAAUAGAUAUAAUUAAUGGAUAUAUCUAAUGCGUGUAAUAUAUCUAAUAUGUAUACCAUAUAUUAUAACGAAUAUAUAACGAAUAUUGUAAUUAAUAUUUAAUGAAUAUGAUAUAGAGAGAGGAUAUUGGAGAUAUAACAGAUAUAUCGAAUAUAUAUAAUAUAUAUGAUAUAUAUAAAAUAUAUAUUAUAUACAAUAUAUAUAUCGAAUAUAUCAAAUAUAUAUUAUAUUUUAUGGACCUACUAUAGGCUAUUUAAUGAUUUAUAUCAUGCUAGAUAAACUAAUUUAAUUUAAUUAAUUAGCCGAAGGAAACCUAUAUAUUUUUAUAGAGAUAUUUGUAAAUCUAAACAUUAAUUAAUCGGCAGUAAAUAUUUCUAUAUUAACGAGAUUUUAAUCUUUAUAAAACUAAUUAUGCCCACUAAAUUUAUAGAAAAUUUAUUAAUUAUCUCUAUAUUAAUAGAUAGGCGAGAUACACAUUAGACAUUCUUGAUCGACAACCUAUAGGCCCCAAUUUAACCAAAUUCAGCCGUUUUUAGCUAAAAUCAAAAGACAUUAAAACGGACAAAUGAGGGGACAGGAAAACGCAAAAAUUAAAGAAAGCCACCCAACCUGCCCCCAAAAAUGCAAGAUUUGGGUCCGGAAAGGUGAAAAACUGCAAGUUUUUUUUAAUUUCAACCUUUCCGAAGGGAUUAAUUAGCACUAAUUAGCUUGAUUGAUUUUCCAAAUUUUACAUUAAGCCACUGAACCCAGUCCUCAAACCACAUUUAUUUGGCUUUUGCCCCAAUUCGGACUUUUUCAAAGAAAUUAGCGCUUCGCGCUUAACGAGGAUGGUGUGGGGACUUAAUGAGCUAGGUUAAUUAGAGGCUGCUAGGGACUAAUUGCACUAAUUGAUUGUUGUAAUUGGAUGAGUUUAAAUGCACUGGUUGCUGGGACUGGCCCAGUAUGGACCAGUAUGAGGGCUCUGGAACUGGAGAUACUAAACUGGAUGUACUGGGGCUAUAGGCUGCUGGUACUGGACCAGUACAGACCAGUAGAGGGGCUGUGGCACCAGUACUGGCUGUACUGGGACCAGUACGGGAGCUCCGGCCCCUGUACUGCCUGUACUGGGACAAGUACAGGGGUCCCGGCACCAAUACUGCCUGUACUGGGACCAGUACGGGGGUCCCGGCCCCUGUACUACUGGUACUGGGAACAGUACAGGGGCCCCAGCACCUGUACUGGUGGUACCGGGACCAGCACAGGAGCUCCGGCACCUGUACUGGUGGUACUGGGACCAGUACAGGGUCCCGGCACCUGUACGGGUGGUACUGGGACCAGCACGGGAGCUCCGGCACCUGUACUGCCCAUACUGGGACCAGUACGGGAGCUCCGGCACCUCUACUGCCCGUACUGGGACCAGUACGGGAGCUCCGGCACCUGUACUGGUGGUACUGGGACCAGUACGGGGGCCCCGGCACCUGUACUGGUGGUACUGGGACCAGUAUGGGAGCUCCGGCACCUGUACUGGUGGUACUGGGGCCAGUAUGGGAGCUCUGGCACCUGUACUGGUGGUACUGGGACCAGUACGGGAGCUCCGGCACCUGUACUGCCUGUACUGGGACCAGUACGGGGGCCCCGGCACCUGUACUGCCUGUACUGGGACCAGUACGGGAGCCCCGGCACCUGUACGGGUGGUACUGGGACCAGUAUGGGGGACCCAGCACCUGUACUGGUGAUACUGGGACCAGUAGAGGAGCGCCAGCACCAGUACUGGUGGUUACUGGAACCAGUACAGGGGGUUCCGGCACCAUUACUGGUUGUACUGGGACCAUUAUGGGGGACCCAGCACCUGUACUGGUGGUACUGGGACCAGUAUGGGAGUGCCAGCACCAGUACUGGUGGUACUGGAACCAGUACAGGAGCUCCAGCAUCAUUACUGCCCAUACUGGGACCAGUGCAGGGGUUCCGGCACCAGUACUGCUCAUACUGGGACCAGUACGGGGGCUCCGGCACCAGUACUGGUGGUCCUGGGACCAGUAGGGGGCUGUGGCACCCAUUCUGGUGGUACUGG
rnacentral:lncRNA from 1 species